rnacentral:rRNA from 1 species
GACGAACGCUGGCGGCGUGCUUAACACAUGCAAGUCGAACGGAAAGGCCCUGCUUUUGUGGGGUGCUCGAGUGGCGAACGGGUGAGUAACACGUGAGUAACCUGCCCUUGACUUUGGGAUAACUUCAGGAAACUGGGGCUAAUACCGGAUAGGAGCUCCUGCUGCAUGGUGGGGGUUGGAAAGUUUCGGCGGUUGGGGAUGGACUCGCGGCUUAUCAGCUUGUUGGUGGGGUAGUGGCUUACCAAGGCUUUGACGGGUAGCCGGCCUGAGAGGGUGACCGGCCAAAUGGGGCAGGGGAAAGGGCCAAGACCCCGAGGGGGGGGAGGGGGGGGGAAAUUGGCAAAAGGGGGGGAAGGCUGAGGCAGCAACGCCGGGUGGGGGAUGAGGGCCUUGGGGUGUAAAACCGUUUUCGCCUGGGACGAAGGGGGGGGGAGGGGAAUGGGGAAAGAAGCACCGGAAAAUUACGG